CCCGGUGGAGUAUGCCUACUCCACAAAAAUAGGCAUACUGCGCUAUUAUUAAAGGAGGAAACCCCGUUCGGCUCACGGUGCGGCAGUGUGGAGACCUGUCGUAAUGCUUCCGCUAUUUUACCUGGCGGAAUGCGAGUACACAUCUUGAGGAUUCAGUGUGUACGGAGUCAAAAAACAUGGCA
ncrna:unclassified sequences malK-I RNA